AACCUUAACGGUUCUCUGCCCUGUAUAUUAGUGCAUGGUAAGAAUCGUUGGACCAUCGGUCCAAACCCAUUAUUUGGCUAGCCUCCAUUCUGCAGAGGCUAAGAAUCC
rnacentral:snRNA from 1 species